UUUCUCGUUAGUUUUGAGUCUCCGACACAAAGAAAUUUCAUCAGUUUUAGAGUCCGACAGAAGAAACUUUCUUCAAUUGCUGCGGUUCUUAAUUCCGUCAAGAAAUUUUCAGAAAAGGCGGUGAUUUUUGGUGGAUUUCAAUCUCUCCCGCUGUUUUCAGUCUUUAUAUUCUUUAUUUCUUUCUCUUAUCUUCUUACAAAACUUAGAUCUGGUUUUCCUGUUGUUCUUCUCCAUUGAAGAAGCUUGCUGAGAGGAUCUAAAGGAGUCAAUCGAAGAUCUAAAGGAGUAAACUUGAAGGAUCUAAAGGAGUAAACUUUCAGAUACUUAUGGUCCAAGAAUAUUGCUUGAAUAAAUUUAUACUGAUUGUACCCGUCGUUAUUUUAGUUCAAGAAUAUUGUGAUUGAUAAAUGGAUAAGAGUUGAGUUCAUUUUGAAAGAUCAAGUAAGGAGUUUCAUGAAGGGUUGUGUUUGUUCUUGAACUGUGCGUUUGAAAAUGGGUUUGUUACUGAAGAUAACAAAGUGAAGUGUCCAUGCAAGGAGUGUGCCAAUAUACAUUACAAGACUAGAGAUGAGAUAUAUGAUGACUUAGUUACCUGUGGUAUGUUAAGGAGCUAUACAGUAUAAUAUCAUCACGGUGAAGGGUUCAGAACAACAUUUCCAUGUGAUUUGGGGGGCAGAAAAUAUCAAUGCGGAUCAGGUUAUUAUGGAUAACAAUGGCGAAGAGGUUGGAGAUGACAUUACUGGAAUGUUGCGAGAUGCAUAUGGAUUACGUGCUGAUGAUGAUAUGAGUGAUAUGUUGGAUGCAGAAAUGAGUGGGAUACCAAGUGAUAGUUCAGCUGCGCAGUUUUAUAAGUUGCUAGAAGAUUCAAAGAAGCCGUUAUACCCUGGAUGCGAUAAGAUGUCGAUGAUGUCCUUUCUUGUUAGAUUUUGGAACUACAAAUGCGUUGGUGGGAUAUCUGACAAGUCAUUCAAAGAGAUGCUUCAACUCAUGAGAGAAUCAUUUCCAGAAGGGUGCGCAUUGCCAGAAAAUUUCAGUGUAAGAAGGUACUAUCAGAUUUGGGAUUGUCUUACGUUAAAAUCGAUGCGUGUCCCAAUGAUUGUAUGUUGUAUUAUAAGGAGACAUCGGAUCUUGAAUCUUGUACGGUUUGCAAAGCUUCUCGUUACAAAGAUGGAAGAUUAAAAACGCCGGCUAAAAUACUUCGUCACUUUCCUUUAAAACGUCGGCUACAAUGGUUGUUCAUGUGUUCUAAGACUGCAGGAGAUAUGAGAUGGCAUCAUGAAGGGCGUACAAAAGAUGGGAUAUUGAGACAUCCAGCUGAUUAUGAAGCUUGGAGGCAUUUUGAUGAGAUGAAUCCAACUUUUAAGGCAUAUCCAAGGAAUAUCAUAUUAGGUUUGUCAACUGAUGGAUUUAGUCCAUAUAGUUCAAUGAGAAAUCCGCAUAGCACAUGGCCUGUGGUUCUGUUACCCUAUAACUUACCACCAUGGUUAUGCAUGAAACAACCUAACAUGAUAUUGUCUUUGCUUAUACCAGGCCCGCGUAGUCCAGGUAACGACAUUGAUGUGUAUUUGAGACCAUUAAUAGAUGAGCUGAAGGAAUUAUGGGAGGAAGGGGCGGACACGUAUGACUCCUCACAAAAUGAAAUGUUCAAUCUGAAAGCGGGGUUACUAUGGACUAUAAGUGAUUAUCCUGGACUUGCAAUGCUCUCUGGAUGGAGUAAUAAAGGUAAUUUGGCAUGUUCAACGUGUCUUGAAGAAACUCGGCACCAGUGGUUGAAGAAUGGAAGGAAAACAGUCUACAUGGGCCAUCGACGAUUCUUACCGAUGAAUCAUAGGUUUUGCACCACACUUAAGAAAUUUUUUGAUGGGAAAGUAGAACUUAGCCCACUUCCAAACCCAUUGUUAGGGCCAGAUAUCUUGAGCUUUCUGAAAGACAUUCCACACACAUAAACAGUUCGAGGAGAAUUUGAGGGGAGAUCGUCCACGCAAGAGAAAAUCACGAGGAUCAAGUAGAGCGGCAAAUAAUAUGCCAAGCAAUUGGAAGAAAUUGAGUAUCUUUUACGAACUUCCAUACUGGAUAAAUAAUCUUCCCAAAAAUAACAUAGAUGUGAUGCACACUGAAAAAAAUGUCUGUGAUAGUGUUCUGGGUACGAUAAUGGAUAUUGCUGGAAAAACUAAGGAUGGUCUUAAAGCAAGAUUUGAUAUGCAACUCCUGAAGAUUAGACCUGAACUUCAUCCAAGGCCAUUACCAAAUGGGAAAUACUUCUUGCCAGAAGCAUGUUAUUCCAUGGAUAAUCCAAAAAAGACUAUGUUUCUUAAUGUCUUGAAGAAUUUGAAGACUCCGGAUGGUUACUCAGCAUACAUUGCGAGGUGUGUAAAUGUCCAGCAACGUAAAAUUUUUGGUCUAAAAAGUCAUGAUUCACAUGUGCUCAUGCAGCAGCUUCUACCUUUGGCACUCCGAAAGACGUUACCGUCUAAGGUCAGUAAAGUGCUAAUGGAGUUGAGUUCCUUUUUCCGUGAACUAUGCUCCAAGGUGUCACGCCCCGAAGAUUUUGAAGAGUUGGAGAAGCGCAUUGUUACCAUUGUUUGUGAAUUAGAGAGGAUUUUUCCACCUGCCUUCUUCGACAUUAUGGUUCACUUGCCUAUCCAUCUGGCAACAGAAGCACGUUUAGGAGGACCUGUGCAGUAUCGGUGGAUGUACCCCAUUGAACGGUAUUUGUACACUUUGAAGAAAUAUGUAAGGAAUAAAGCUCAUCCAGAGGGAUCUAUUGCUGAAGGCUAUUUGGCUGAUGAAUGUGUUACAUUCUUGUCGAGGUACCUCAAAGAUAUCGAGUUAAGAACCAAUAGACCACCUAGAUACAUAGAUGAUACUCCCAUUGGGAAAGCCGUGAGAUUUUCUUUAACUGGCGAUCAAAAGAAGAAGAUGCAUGACUAUAUCUUGUCUAAUGAGGAUGAUGUGGCUCCGUAAAUAGCGCAACACAAAACUACACUGGCUAUGAUCCACCCAAGACUGAGUGACCUUGAACGCCUGCUAAAGCACAAAUACGAGUUUGCUGAUUGGUUUAAGAAUCAUAUUAGGUUGCUUGUGAAAUCUAAAGUGAGUAUUGCUGAAGGAUUAGAUUUGCUUGCUGAAGGUCCUUUUUCAACUGCGAGAAAAUUCACCGGCUAUACAACACAAGGCUAUAAUUUCAAAGUUGUAGGUAAAGAAAAUGGAGCAAAGACACAGAAUAGUGGUGUGGUAGUCGAUUCAACAGCGCCUUCCAUCAGAAGUGGAGCAGCUCAGAACCCAAUCAAUGAUACAGAUCGCUCAUACUAUGGAGUACUUACCAACAUAAUUGAGUUGACAUAUAGACAAGGUCAUUCAUACGUGUUGUUUGACUGCAAUUGGGCUAAUGUGGUGAACACUUCUGGCAGAACAAGGACUUCUGGUUUGAAGACUGAUAGCUUAGGGUUCACUCUUGUGAAUUUUAACUAUCUCUUGGGGACACAACAGGAGGAGCCUUAUAUGUUGGCCUCUCAAUGCCGACAAGUAUUUUAUUCCCAAGACCCUGUAGAACCUGAAUGAGAUGUUGUGGUCAGGAAUAAACCUAGGGAUAUUUUUGACAUGAGUGAUGAUAAUCCAGAUCAACUACUGGAUAACCUUCCAUUUGGAAAUGAAGUCAACAAUGAAGAGGAUGAUAGUAUUGGUGUUAUAAAUGAUGGGACUGGGGUGAUAGUUGAUGCUCCUACGAGAAAUGGCAGUGGAGAUAAAAUAUGGGUUGAAGAAGAAGAAGAAGAGGAAGAAGAAGAAGAGGUAGAAGAAGAAGAAGACGCCGACAAAAAAGUAGAGUCAGAAGAAGAGGAAUUUGUGGAUGGGUUUUCAGAAGAUGAGAAUGAUGGCUCUGAUGUUGAGUUUGACAGUGGAUCAGAUGAUGAUUCUUAAACAUAUUACAAUUUUUCAUUCCUGCAUUGCUUGUUGUCCUUAUAAUGUGUUCUUAAUAUAACAUUUGAAUAGAUAGAUCUUUUGAAAUUGUGUCUUUCUACAAUUAUGAUUGUUUCAGUUGUUUCUCAUUGUUAGAUUAUCAGUUUAGUAUACUAACAUCGUAACUUUUAGAUUUUUUGUAGGAUGCCUCUAGGUGGAGCAGCUAUGAGGUUCUUGCAUGACCUAUUACCAAAUCAGAAGCUUGCAGUUGAAGUGGACAUGGAACACCUUUGUCCUAUGGGGGAUAAUGGUACGUAUAUAACCAAAUAUAUCACUCAUCUAGCGAAUGAUGGACACAAACUACCGUUGACAAUACAUGACUGGAAACGCAUGCCUUCACAGUUAAUUGAGAAUGUGGUGCUUGAAAUAAAGCAAAUAUUUGACUACCCAGAAGUGUUGGAUGACUGGAUCUACACCAAGAUAAAUGUUAGGUGGAAGUAUCACAAACAUCAUGUUAAAAAGGCUGCUUAUAAAAAAUGGAAUACGGUGGAAGAACGUCUUGCUAAUCCACCACACAAUGUUAUUGAGAGCCAGUGGAGGGUACUCGUUGAGGUUUGGAAUACUGAUUUGAAGAAACAAGUAAACAUUAGUAUUCUUGUUUUUCAUGAGAAGUCUCAUAAUUAAGCAGGCCUGACAUUAUAAGAUAAUAUAUUUGGUGUAGGCAAUAUGCCAAAUAAACAAAGAAAACAGGGAGAAACAAAAAUUUCACCAUACUACUGGCUCUAAACCACAUGCUAAGUGUGCAGUAGAGCUGGGGAAAAAACUAGGACGGCGUCCUAAACGUCACGAGGUCGUUGGUGUUACCCAUACUAAAAAGAAGAAAACUGAAGACCCAGAUGAAGUAUUGAUGGAUCCAGAAGUGGAUGCAGAACUUUAAAAGUAUGUUCUGCUUCAGCUGUAUAAUCUAGCAUGGAUGAUGGACUGGUUUCACAUGUGGGGCAAGGUCUUUACGCAUAGAUAUUUGGCUAAGAAGAAAGAUGUAUUUACUGCUAUGUGAUGUUUGGCUAAGAAGAAAGAUGUAUUACUGUUAAUACUUAAUAUGACACAUAAUGAAGUAGGGAUGCAAAUUUUGGUGGUGCAAUAAUGAUGCAAUAAGUUAUGAUGCAAUAUCUCUCCUAGUACAUAUAUCAGCACAUAACUUUUCAUGUGUUUCGGGAUGGUAUAUCUGAGUGAACAAUGCAUUUUGAUCUGUUAUGGUUGUUGCCUAACUUUUUAAAUGAAAAUGUGGUUUUCAAGGCUA